GUGGGAUCUUCCCGGACCGGGGCACGAACCCGCGCCCCCUGCAUCGGCAGGCGGACUCUCAAUCACUGCGCCACCAGGGAAGCCCCAGCCCGUUUCUUUGAAGGCAGCAUGAAAUGCCAGGGAAGACAUUUCAACUCAAUGAGGAUCAGGACACACAGGAAGAAUACAGUUCCUGCCUUGUGUUUAGUGAGGCUAACCUCUGAAGUCCUCACUCUCCCAGAAGGAGAAGUUCCCUCCAUGCUUUCCAACUCUCUCCACCUGUACAAGGCACAGGUUGGUCAUUUACUGGUCAAUUUGCUCAUUAAUAACAAACACCCCACGUGAGAAGUUCCCAUGGACUAAAUUAAUUGGAUAACUGCAAAGGCUCCACUUGUCUUGGGACUGUGAGAAGACGUCUCAUUACUGGAAACUGAAAGAUGGAGCCAUUUGGAUACUGGCCCAGGACCACCCAAAUGGGAGAAAGGGGAUAACCUCAGGGUGGAAAAGCCUGGCACACAACGUGCAUCAAAUGAUCUAAGUGAACAUCACCAGCAUGAGGACAAAAGUAUGGGGCACUUGAUAGGACGUGAUGGAAAGUAUUUCUGUGAUUUUCCUGCCAAAGCUCCAUAGUUCUGCUUCAGAUACUCAAAUGGAAUUUCCAGAUGGUUGCCUUCUCUAAGAUUCUCCUAGGAAAAGAAGCCAAACAGAAUACUGGAAGAUUUUCUUCCAGAAUUUAUUAUAUGAAGCAAGGGGAGCAAGGAGUUGUCUACACAGGAUGCCACGGUGUGCCACCCAGAUCCCCCUCCAGCUUGUUUCAUUCAUUCCCCCAGCUGUUUGUCAUACCUUCUGAGGCAUGGAGAAAGGAAAAGAAGAAAUGAGGGUUAACAGCCAUUGAGCGGCGCUCAGUUUGCAGACAAUAUGCAUAAAAGAUCUUACUUAGUCUUUAUAAGCACCAUUGCCAAGCCCCAAGUUGUACUCACAUUUUGACAGAACAUUUGCGUUGCCACGUAAAGAACCACGACCAGAGGAGAUGGUGGCAGAGGAUAAAAGGAGACUGCGAGUGGGAGAAGAAAGCUAUGGACAGCAACGUGUCACGUGACUAGCUGCUGAAAGGAAGUUUUUUGUACCUAUGCAUAUUCUCCUCCUUGCUUUGAUAGGGAUAUAGGCAUAUAUAUUAAUCAGUUCCUUUUCCCACCUUUCUCAUGCCCCCUCUAGCCAAUAUAAAGCAGCUAACCCUAUAAUUUGGCAUUUAAGUCACAGGAAAGCAAAGGAAUAUUGCAUCUGAACUAGGAAUGAAUAUUCUCGGAGAUAAGGUGACAUAUGGGAGGCGGUGUCUUUCUUUUCCAGGAGCAGCCUGCAGGUGGAUCCGCUGCUCUCCUAUGUUGCAAGAUACAUGGCCUUUGUUAUCGCUGCGUUCUUCAGAAUCAGAAUAGUCUUCGGUUGGCUUCUGGAGGUGGAAAUUAUAUUCUGGAUGAUUGAAAUUGCUUGCUAUUUAACUGUCAGAUGGAUGGGUAUGCCGAAUUUUUUGAAGGAGAGCAAAGCAAGUAUCAAAUGGACUGCUGCUGCCUUAACGUGACUUAUCACGGAUCGCUACCUGUUUAUUGAAUCAAAGUGUUUAUUUUUAUAACUAUUUUAUAAGGCAUGGUACAUGGUUAAGAGUAAAAUCAUUGCUUGUAAAGUUUCUUCAUUUCUGACAUCCUUCAAUUCUCUUUCAAGAUCAGAGAGAACUUCCCACUCUGCAGAAAGUAUUAUUUAUU